AUUCAACUGACGAGUUCCAAAUAGGACGAAACACAUGUCCUGGCU
rnacentral:hammerhead_ribozyme from 1 species